UACAGAGGGUGCAAGCGUUGUUCGGAAUUAUUGGGCGUAAAGCGCGUGUAGGCGGCUUUGCAAGUCGGGUGUGAAAGCCCUCAGCUUAACUGAGGAAGUGCGCCCGAAACUGCAGAGCUUGAGUACCGGAGAGGAUGGCGGAAUUCCCAAGUAGAGGUGAAAUUCGUAGAUAUGGGGAGGAACACCGGUGGCGAAGGCGGCCAUCUGGACGGAUACUGACGCUGAGACGCGAAAGCGUGGGUAGCAAACGAGGA
rnacentral:rRNA from 1 species